rnacentral:rRNA from 1 species
ACCCGUCUUGAAACACGGACCAAGGAGUCUAGCAUGUGCGCGAGUCAUUGGGACUUAUUUAAACCUAAAGGCGUAAUGAAAGUGAAGGUUCGCCUUGCGCGAAACUAGGGAAGAUGAGCGGCGCCGAGGCGCCGCUUCGCACUCCCGGGGCGUCUCGUUCUCAUUGCGAGAAGAGGCGCACCUAGAGCGUACACGCUGGGACCCGAAAGAUGGUGAACUAUGCCUGGUCAGGACGAAGUCAGGGGAAACCCUGAUGGAGGUCCGUAGCGAUUCUGACGUGCAAAUCGAUCGUCGGAACUGGGUAUAGGGGCGAAAGACUAAUCGAACCAUCUAGUAGCUGGUUCCCUCCGAAGUUUCCCUCAGGAUAGCUGGCGCUCGCCACGUGCGAGUCUCAUCCGGUAAAGCGAAUGAUUAGAGGCAUUGGGGUCGAAACGGCCUCAACCUAUUCUCAAACUUUAAAUGGGUGAGAUCUCCGGCUUGCUUAAAAGACGGCGCCUUCGUGCGCAACGUUGAAGCCGCGAGAUUUCGGAUCAGAGUGCCAAGUGGGCCAUUUUUGGUAAGCAGAACUGGCGCUGUGGGAUGAACCAAACGCAGAGUUAAAGCGCCAAAAUCGACGCUUAUGGGAUACCAUGAAAGGCGUUGGUAACUUAAGACAGCAGGACGGUGGCCAUGGAAGUCGGAAUCCGCUAAGGAGUGUGUAA